UACGGAGGGUGCAAGCGUUGCUCGGAAUUACUGGGCGUAAAGCGCGUGUAGGCGGUUUCGUGUGUCUGAUGUGAAAUCCCCGGGCUCAACCCGGGAAGUGCAUUGGAAACUGCGAGACUAGAGUCCCGGAGAGGAAGGUGGAAUUCCAGGUGUAGCGGUGAAAUGCGUAGAUAUCAGGAAGAACACCAAUGGCGAAGGCAGCUCUCUGGGACGGUACUGACGCUGAGACGCGAAAGCGUGGGGAGCGAACAGG
rnacentral:rRNA from 1 species